rnacentral:rRNA from 1 species
AAGUCGUAACAAGGUCUCCGUUGGUGAACCAGCGGAGGGAUCAUUACAGAGUUGCAAAACUCCCACAAACCAUCGCGAAUCUUACCCGUACGGUUGCCUCGGCGCUGGCGGUCCGGAAGGCCCUCGGGCCCCCCGGAUCCUCGGGUCUCCCGCUCGCGGGAGGCUGCCCGCCGGAGUGCCGAAACCAAACUCUUGAUAUUUUAUGUCUCUCUGAGUAAACUUUUAAAUAAGUCAAAACUUUCAACAACGGAUCUCUUGGUUCUGGCAUCGAUGAAGAACGCAGCGAAAUGCGAUAAGUAAUGUGAAUUGCAGAAUUCAGUGAAUCAUCGAAUCUUUGAACGCACAUUGCGCUCGCCAGUAUUCUGGCGAGCAUGCCUGUUCGAGCGUCAUUUCAACCAUCAAGCUCUGCUUGCGUAGGGGAUCCGCGGCCGCCCGCGGUCCCUCAAAAACAGUGGCGGGCUCGCUAGUCACACCGAGCGUAGUAACUCUACAUCGCUAUGGUCGUGCGGCGGGUUCUUGCCGUAAAACCCCCCAAUUUCCAAGGUUGACCUCGGAUCAGGUAGGAAUACCCGCUGAACUUAA